rnacentral:rRNA from 1 species
GAGUUUGAUCCUGGCUCAGGAUGAACGCUGGCGGCGUGCCUAAUACAUGCAAGUCGAGCGAACAGACGAGGAGCUUGCUCCUCUGACGUUAGCGGCGGACGGGUGAGUAACACGUGGGUAACCUACCUAUAAGACUGGGAUAACUUCGGGAAACCGGAGCUAAUACCGGAUAAUAUAUUGAACCGCAUGGUUCAAUAGUGAAAGACGGUUUUGCUGUCACUUAUAGAUGGAUCCGCGCCGCAUUAGCUAGUUGGUAAGGUAACGGCUUACCAAGGCAACGAUGCGUAGCCGACCUGAGAGGGUGAUCGGCCACACUGGAACUGAGACACGGUCCAGACUCCUACGGGAGGCAGCAGUAGGGAAUCUUCCGCAAUGGGCGAAAGCCUGACGGAGCAACGCCGCGUGAGUGAUGAAGGUCUCCGGAUCGUAAAACUCUGUUAUUAGGGAAGAACAAAUGUGUAAGUAACUAUGCACGUCUUGACGGUACCUAAUCAGAAAGCCACGGCUAACUACGUGCCAGCCGCCC